CAAAUAUUUUUUGUGGCUAAAAAGAUCACUAAAUUCAUAUAAACGUACCAGUGGAGUCAUUUUAUCGAUUUUACAGGUGAAUCAUUCGGUUACAAGGAUACGUAGAGUGAGGGAAUAUUUGUGAAGGGAUAAAAAUGUCCAAAAAAAUGCAAACCUGUUUCUUCCUUUCUCGCAAGCCGUGUUGGUAUGGAGAAAUUGUCUUCUAGUGUGAGAAAGAGUAAAGCAGAUCACGGUCUAUAAAGUGCAAGAUUGCCUUCCACUUAUUAUUUUACUCUUUCCGUGCAUCAAGAUUAUUACCAUCAUCAUUAUCUUCUUUAUCUUCUAGUAUGAUGUCAAACUGUGAUGAUUCUGGUUUUCCUCUUUGACUUGUCAUUUAGGUAUGGAGCUUAUGGGUUUGUAACUUAGCUCUUGAUGGCAUUAUUUACAACGGGCUCCUCCCUCUUUGCCUGAUUUUUUGAUAGAUCUAAGCCUUUUUUUUUCUAUUUUUGUUCAUAUAAUUAUAACUUGAACAACAUCGGAUAUUUUAGAUCUGAGCCUUGCAACGGGCUCCUCCAAUGUGUAUAUUAAUUCUCACCAACACUGAAUACAAGUACAAUCACCAUCAAUGGCUGCCGGAAUUGCCGUCGCAGCCGGCUCCCAGUCCCAGACGAUUGUUUCCGGGUCAACUCAUUUCUAACCCGAAAACCUACCUCCCUAGUCGCAGAUAGUCUGACGUUUUCCCCUUUAGCCCAGCGAUUCAGCACAACUCGGAGGUGUCGAAGGAAGCCCAGGUUGAGGGUUUGUUUUGUGCUAGAGGAUGAGGAAUUGAAAGCCCUGUUGCUGAGAAGCGAGGAGGAAGCCCUAGAGCGCGAGAAAGUGAUGGCGAAGCGGAUCUCUGAUGCAAGAAUGGCGGAGAAACUAGCCAGGGAGAUAUCAGAAUUUUUUUUUUGGUACAACUUGCGAGGAAGGAAGAAACAGGUUAUCGACGGCACAGGAACUGCAAAUUGAUAUAGAUCCUUGGCAAUCUCUCAGAGAGUACAGCCACCUCGAGAUAAAAGAUUCACAACAUUUUAAAUAAAAUCGAUCAAGAGUCACAUCUUACGAAGUAGACCUGAAAACCAAGAUGAUGGUGGUGAUUGGAUACGUUGCUCCUGUCCAAGUGUUAGAGACUGUAUAUAAAGUGAAAACCGCCGAGUUAUGGACCACUCCCGCCUGCUAGCCAAAUGCAAGGAAACCUGUCAUUCCUCCCAAAGACUAAGUGCUAUAAGCCAUGGAGAACAGGCAAAGAAGACAACUACAUAGACCCCGUGCCAUGUAACAUUGAAAUGAAUAAAUAUACGUUUAUAUCUAUAAAUAUUGUAUGCUUAAUUAUAUCCAAUAGACAUCCAUGAGACAUCAUGACAUAAAUUAAUCAAUAGAGUUUCUCCAUGUACGAUAUUACAAUCUGGGUAUCCGGGAAAUUGAUUGAUGCACCAAGCUACUUCCAUGAGCAGCUAUAAAUAUAAUGAGAGACUUUUCC